rnacentral:tRNA from 1 species
CUAUCUUUAGCUCAGUUGGUUAGAGCAGAUGGCUCAUAACCGUCCGGUCGUAGGUUCGAGUCCUACAGGGUACA